rnacentral:snRNA from 1 species
GUGCUUGCUUUGGCAGCACAUAUACUAAAAUUGGAACCAUACAGAGAAGACUAGCAUGGCCCCUGCGCAUGGAUGACAUGCAGAUUCGUGAAGCAUUCCAUUUUUUU